AACGUAGGACGCAAGCGUUAUCCGGAGUUACUGGGCGUAAAGGGCGUGUAGGCGGCGUCUCAAGUUCGUCGUGAUAGACCCCGGCUCAACCGGGGGUGGUCGAGGGAGACUGAGGCGCUGGAGGACGGUAGAGGGACAGGGAAUUCCGGGUGUAGUGGUGAAAUGCGUAGAGAUCCGGAGGAACACCAGUGGCGAAGGCGCUGUCCUGGGCCGCACCUGACGCUGAGACGCGACAGCAUGGGGAGCGAACGG
rnacentral:rRNA from 1 species